rnacentral:lncRNA from 1 species
UGAUGAGUAGAUUUGCUUGUUCUACCGGUUCUUGCUGUGUUCCAAAUUCUUAUCCACCAUCAUUCUAUGCUUAAUUCACACCGAUGUUACAAGCUUUAAUUUCCUAGGUGAGUUGUCCAAUUUUUAUUUUUAUUUUAGUUUUUACGUAUUUAGAUUUGUGUUUGUUCAGCAAAAUAGGAUUGUAAUUUCCCUUUUGCUUCUAUGUUCGGCUAAUAGAGUUGUCUCUCUUUCUCCUCAUUGCACAACUCCUACAUUCUCCAAAACACAUAUCCGGAAAAAAAUUGUUACAUAUAGUUUAGGCUUGUUGUCAAUUUAAGUUGACCAGGUGUUCUGGAAAAUUACACUUUUGUAAAUUGAGUUUUGAAAUGUUUGUGCUUCAUUUUGUUUGCUUUUAGAUCAUCUAUGAAUAUGUAUGAGUAAGUUGUUUUUUAGUUUGAGGUAGCAUGGACAUGGAGGACCAAGCCAAUUUUGAAAUUUUUAUUUGAAAGCUUAUAAAUAUCUUUAAAAUUGUCUAUUUUCACACCGAUUGAGUGAUGUUGCUGGUGGGGUUAACACGCGAGGAACUUCACAUUUAAAAGAUUGUAAAUAUCACACUGGAAAGUUGUUCUGUCCAAAUUACAACUCCUACAAUCUCCACUGAGAUAACAAUGCCAUCAGGAUAUUGGCAGCCCACUGCCAACACAGGAAACAGCUGCUCUGCAUCAAAAAUUAACAGGUUGUACAACAUGUUAAGAGAUAGCGAAACUGUUUUGUACAGGUAACUAUUUAUUUCUGCAUCUGAAUUUUUACUUGGAAUUAAAUGUUGCAAACAUUUUGUGCAAUUUUUACCCGAUAUACAUCCAGUUGACUCCGCUUACAGUGCGUCCCGUAUUUCCUGCUUCUACCAAGGGAAAUCCUCAUUCCAUCUACGUGAAAGGCGAGUUACUAAAAGUUGUCAAACUUUUGAUCUAAUCUAUGAGAUUCAAGCAUAUCCUAAUUCUAUGUUAGGUUCAAUAUUAGAUGGUUCUAACGACAAACAGAGUAAAACUAUGUUCUUAGAAAAUAUUUCAAUAUGAAUUAUUUAUUACUAACGUCUUAGUAUCAUGCUCAUAUAUAGUUUGCAACAAUGUUAGUUUAUGAUUUUAGAAUGUCCUCAAUUCAGGUGAAUACUUGAAUAAUAAGAUCAAUCAAAUUAUUUUAACAAUUGCUUUUCCAACUUCAAUAUUAUAUCUAUUAGUGAACAAAGAAAAAAUUGUUUUUUAAAGGUAACAAUAUUAUAUGGCCUUUAAGACAAAAAGGGAAAACAACAGCAUAACGAGUUGGCAUUUUGUCUCAAUCUUAAAGCCUUGUUCUUCUUUCCUUGUUCCAUAAUCUGCAGGAUCCUGCAGCUUCUCUCUGCACCUUUGGAACAACAAACUCAACAAGUGGAGGGAUACCACCUUCAAUCCUAUAGUCAAAAAAUACAGAUCUGUAAAAGGGCAAAGUCUUUCAAAUUCUUCUGGCUCAACUCAUGCUUCAGUUUUUGUAAAGGUAUGUUAUUUUUCACAUUAACAAUACACUUAAAUUCUGAACUUUUAAAUGUAAGAGGGUGCAAGAAUGUUGUUGACCCUUAGUUUGAUACUUCUUUAAGAUAACAUCAGUUCAUUUGAGUUGAACGCAUGAUAAGUUCGUUUAUAUAUGUUAUAUUAGGUACUGCCAACUUUCUUAUUUUUAACACUGUUAAAAUUCUUAUGUUGGGGUAGUGUUUUUCUUCAUUUCUUGUCAUCUUUUUGAAUUAUUUUUUUUAGACUAAACCUGAUUUUAGGAGCUUGUAUGUUGUCUAUAUUAAGCAAUAUUCUACCUUGAAUAGGUAAUUUAGAGAAAGAUAUGCAUUCUAAUUUGCCUUAUUCCUCCAUAACAAGAUUUUCUAGAUAAUCUGCAAAUGAAAUUUCCUCUUGUAUAUGUGUUGCACAUGGAUUUUGAAACCUCUAUGAAAUUUCUUGUAUUUUUAUACUAUUGUACUAAUGUGCAAAGGGUGUGGUCCACAUAUCUCCAACAUUUUUUUUAUUAAAAGAGUCAAUUCUUAUUUAUGAAAGUAGUAAAUUCUUGUACAACACAGUAGGAUAAAGUUUCUCUAAUUGCAGUUUCCUCUACCUCAGUGUUUGGUGUGUCUGGGAAAACCUCAGCUUGAGCAAAUAUUAGGUCUCCAGUAUGUCUUCUAACACAUAUUUCAUAGGAGCUCUUACUAGGAUUUCUCCAACUAGCAAUAUUGCUUCUAACCUUGUUUCACAUGUUGAUGCAUGUAGCGCACAAGCUGUAACAGGCCAAAAUAUUCUACAUUCUUCAGGUUCAACUCAUGAUUCGGUUCUUCAAAAGGUAUUUUGCGUGGUUCCUUUGAUUCUAUGCUGUCUUGGUGUCUUCAGUAGUGUGUCUUGGUUUUGUUGGAGUUGAGUUUCCUCUUUAUCCAUGCUUUGUUUGGUGCGACUGCUAUCCUGAUUUACAGGACCCCUCUUUGGAGUAGACUGUAUUGAUCUUGUGUGAUUGCGACUGCUACCUGUUUUGGUGUCUGUAGUAGAGUGUAUUGAUCUUGUAUGAUUGUGACUCUGUUUUCCGAGAAUUAGCUGUGUCAUCUUCCUCUUUUUCCACCUUGAUUUCAGCUUGAUUGUUGGUACCCUGCCCCAUAGGGAAAGUGAAAGCAAAAAUGAUAUCUCAUUUGAACUUAGAUCGAUUAAAGCUUCAUCUGAAAGUUCCAUGCUACACUGAAAGUAAAACAAAGUUGAAUUGUUGCAGCUGAAUUGUUGAGUUCUAAGAUCGAUUAAAGUAGAAUUCUAAGAGCUCUAAGAUAGGAGCUCUAAGUUGCUUUUGUAAUUCUGUUGCAGCUGAAUUCAUUUUCUUGUUGAAUUGUUGGGCAUCUAUAUUGAUCUUUGAAACACAUCCACUUUCAUGAAAUCUAAAUAAUGUUCUAGCUGCUGGGAGGAAUUUGGAACCUGCAAUCAUAUGUAAUAUGCAAUAAUCUGUAAUUUGUAAUCUGCAAUCUGGAGUUGUAAUCUAUAACCUGUAAUAAUUUGGAAUCUGGAAUUUGGAACGGUAAUCUGUAAUCUGCAGUAAUAUGAAAUCUGGAACUGUAAUCUGGAACCUGAAAUAUUGAACUAUAAUCUGCAUUCUGCAAUUUGGAAUCUAAAACCUGCAAUCUGGAACUCAUUCUUUAAUCCGUAAUCUGCAAUAAUAUGGAAUCUGGAACUGUAAUUUGGAACUCAAAAUCUGCAGUCUGCAAUUUGCAAUGUGGAACUGUUGCAAUCUAGAAUCUGGAACUUCUUGCCUUGUCUAUAACGUACUGUUGCAAUCUGAUUUGUUGUAAAUUCUAAAUGUGUAGGGAAAUGGAGGUGAUCAAAUUUGAAGGGUCGCUACAAGUCAAUUUGAUCUCAUUGAAGUGGCUGAUGAAGAGUUUUUGAACUAUUGUAAAAGUUUGAAUACAUUAUGUUUGAUUUUGCGAAAUAUAUUCUUUGCUAGAAUAUAUUGAACUAUUGUAAGAGUACUUUUUGAACAAUUGUGUACACAUAUUUAGAAUAUUGUUGUAUAAGUAUGUGCAAGUACACAAGACGUACUCUCUUUUGAAGUUUAUUCAAAUCUAUACAUUUGAAAUACUUACGAGCC